CAAUACUUUGGUGGCGACCGGCGCACGGGUGAGUAACACGUAUCCAACCUGCCCUUUACUCGGGGAUAGCCUUUCGAAAGAAAGAUUAAUACCCGAUGGCAUAAUGAUUCCGCAUGGUUUCAUUAUUAAAGGAUUCCGGUAAAGGAUGGGGAUGCGUUCCAUUAGGUUGUUGGUGAGGUAACGGCUCACCAAGCCUUCGAUGGAUAGGGGUUCUGAGAGGAAGGUCCCCCACAUUGGAACUGAGACACGGUCCAGACUCCUACGGGAGGCAGCAUG
rnacentral:rRNA from 1 species